rnacentral:rRNA from 1 species
UACGUAGGGUGCAAGCGUUGUCCGGAAUUAUUGGGCGUAAAGAGCUCGUAGGCGGUCUGUCACGUCGGCUGUGAAAACCCGAGGCUCAACCUCGGGCCUGCAGUCGAUACGGGCAAACUAGAGUGUUGCAGGGGAGACUGGAAUUCCUGGUGUAGCGGUGAAAUGCGCAGAUAUCAGGAGGAACACCGGUGGCGGAAGGCGG